rnacentral:lncRNA from 1 species
AAUUUCUUCGCCCUCCACCAGUGAGCACGCCAAGCCACCGCCCCUUCCUGUUGCCCAGCGCCCCCCUGCAGCGCGCCCGCCCGCCCGCCUCCCUACCCUGGCCGCGGCGGCCUUCGCUCCAUGCACCUGCUUUAGGUUGCGCCGCCGUGCGCCCUCGCUGUGCCGGCCGACCUCGCCGCGGCCUGACCCAGUCAUCGUCCCUGCUUCAUCUCCCCGUCAUGCUCCUCCAUGGGCGUGGUGAUCACCUAUGCCGUCGUAGCCAUGCCUUGGGCGCCACACCGGCCGUCAGCCUCAUCUCUCUGCUCGCCUGUCUCCUUGCCUCCCUGUGCUCACCACGCCGGACGCCGCUCCCAACCCUCCACACUUCCCUCCCCAGGCCGCGGCGGCCUUCGCUCCAGCUCUGCCUCGCCAUCGACUGAGUCCCCACGUCCCUGCGCGGCGACGUGCUCGCCCAGGCCCUGCCAAGGACUCCUGCGAACUCCAACCUCAUCGCCUAGCCCCGCCACCGUUUCUAAAGUGAUGAUCCAUUCAGCAUGUCCUCGUGCUCAUCGCAUGGAUCAUAUCUGGGCUCACACUGGGGCUCGUCGCUCGGCCUCGUCGAGCUAGAGAUCCUCCAACAUAGCAGCACAGACGCCAAGAAGGCUUAGCCUUUGCAGGCACUUCCUAUAUUUCUUGAUAGGAUGUUUCAUCAUGUUCUUGCUGUAAUAUUGUCAGUGACAUUUGUUCUUGCCUUUGGAGAGGGAUCAUAUCUGAGCUCAGACUGGGGCUCAUGUCGCUCGGCCUAAUGUAGCAGCACAGUCAUUUCAGGAGACCAUUGAUAGUAUGAUGAGGUCGAUGCAAAAAAAAAUAACAACCACCUUCAUCAACUAUUAAGCUUCAGUCGAGGUCAAGCGUGUCCAUCUUUAAGUCUGCUUGACCACUAUAGGAUCUGUAACCUUAUGGAUGUUAUAGUAGCUAGUAACAAUAUGCUUAAUAUUUAGUACUUGAGUUGAAGUUAUAGGAUUUUCUUUGGAAUUGAAGUUAAAGGAUUUGUAGAUAUAUGUUUUGACGUUAUAUGAUUCUCUAAUGGAUGAAAUAUUCGUGUUCAACAAAAAAAAAAAAAAAAA